GACGCGAGCGCCAGGCUGGGAGCAGUCGAGAGUGGCCCCGGAAAGGCUGGCGCUGCUCAGCCAGGAGCGUCUCCGUGACGGGACAGUCGCUAGACCCGCCUCUCUACCUGGUGAUGGUCAUUGUCCUCCUGAACAGGGAUGGAGGAAAUAUCCCAUGAAGCAGCAGGAUCACCAAGGGUCCAGUUUCAGUCUUUGGAGAGCCAGUCUGAAUGUCUUUCCCCAGAGCUUCAGUUUCUGCAGGACACGGAGAUGGAGCAGGGAUUCACUGGGGCUCCACCUGUUCCCCAGGUGCCUGCUCUUCCCCAUGAGGGAAGCCCAGGAGACCAGGCAGCUGCGCUCCUGACAGCCAGGUACCAGGAGUUUGUGACAUUCGAGGAUGUGGCUGUGCAUCUUACUCGAGAGGAAUGGGGAUGCCUGGACCCUGUUCAGAGGGAGCUCUACAGAGAAGUGAUGUUAGAGAAUUAUGGAAACGUGGUUUCACUGGGCAUACUUCUCCGUCUUCCCACCACCCGGAUUCAUUGUGUGAAUUCCUGCCCAGCCCUGAGUCAUACCCAGGCAAGUGCUUUCUCUGGAGAAACACUUGCAGUCCUAACGGCAGGAAUCACCAAGAGAUGGCCCAGGAUUUCCAGUUUCCAAGCCUGAUGGGAUCUCCCAGCGGGAACAAGAUCUACAGGUCUUUGAUCUGGAAACUAAGAAUAGAGAAGUCAUAAGAGAUAACUGUUCAGAUGGAGAGACCAGAGAAGAGAAAACAAGCUGUUGGUCCCUAAGCGGAAAAUUCAGAAGAAGUACAUUCAUACAAAGUGAGAGUAGGAAAAUUCAAACAGAAUAUUACCCAAGUUCCUGAGACCAGAGAGGUGUAUAAAUCUGAGGACAGAUUAGAAAGGCUCCAGGAAAUUCUAAGGAAAUUUCUCUUUCUGGAGAGAGAGUUUAGACAAAUAACAAUCAGCAAGAAAAACUUCACCAAUGAGAAGAACAGUGAACCUGAAAAAAGCUUCAGUCUAGACUCUACACUUGAUACAGAUCAGAGAGUUCUUAGAAUACAGGACCAUUGAUGACAAUAAGUAUGACAUGAACUUCAACCAGAACCCAGCUGUUGGUGAACAAGAACCCAUAAAUCUGACACAGAGUAGUGACUAUAAAGAAAGCUUAAUGGAUCUGUCCCACCUUAAUAAAUGGGAGAACAUGCCUACCACUGACAGGUCCUAUAAAUGGUGAUACGUGUGGGAAAACCUUCCAUCAGGCCUCAGCUCUUACUAGACAUCAGAGAGAAUUCACACAAGAGAGAAACCCUACAAAUGUAAGGAAUGUGAGAAAUCUUUCAGUCAGAGCUCAAGUCUUAGUCGACAUAAAAGAAUACACACUAGAGAGAAAUCCUACAAAUGUGAAGCGUCUGAUAAAUCCUGUGAUGUCCCUGAGAAGUCAUGUGGCCAGAGCUCAGAUGUGCUUCAGCAUAAGAAGGUUCAGGCCAAAGCCAAGUCUUACAAGUGUGGCAGCUGUGAGAGAGUCUUCAAGCCGAAGUGUGCAUCUUACCCACAGCAUCAGAGAACUCACAAGGUACAUGGCCUGUAAAUGUACCGUGUGUUGCGUGACUUCUGCCACACCUCAUAUCUCGUUGAACAUCAGAGAGUACAUCAUCAAGAGAAGCCCUACGAGUAUGAUGAGUGUGGGCUGGCCUAUGUGAAACAGCAAAGGAGCCCGUUUCCGAGAAAAGCCCUACACGUGUACUGAAUGUGGGAAAGACUUCAGACUGAACUCCCAUCUUAUUCAGCUCAAAGAAUUCACAUGGGAGAGAAACUACAUGAAUGUAAUGAGUGUGGAAAAGCUUUCAGCCAAACCUCAUGCCUUAUUCAGCAUCACAAAAUGCCACCAGGAAAGAGAAAUCAUAUGAUUACAAACGAUUAUGAAGAAACUUUCAGUACAACUCCGAUCUUACUCUGCAGACAAGAAGUUCACUUAGAGAGAGAGUCUUUGAUUGUGAUGCAUGGGACCGAGAACUUCAGUCAGAGAGCCCACCUUGUCCAGAAUGAAAGGGUCCAUACCAAAGAGAAACCUUAUGAAUGCAAUGAACUUGGGGAGACAUUUAGUCAAGUUCAGGCCUCAUUCAGUAUGUGAGAAAGACUGUAAUAGUCACAUAUGUACUGAAUGUGGUAAUGUCUUCAGUCAUAUUCUGGCCCUUGGACAGCAUCAAAAUUCAUACCAGAGAGAAACCCGCUGAAGGUGAUGAAUAUUAGGAAGUAUUUUGAUGUUAAACUCUUCAUUGACUCCUGUAAGUCAGUGCUAGAAUAUAUAGGGACAUGGUACAUUCUUCAGCUUAUUUUCAUACCUUAGUCCCAGUUGGUGGAUUUGUAUUGGAGUAGAAUUCCACUGUCAAAUGUGAAAAAGCCAUCUGUCUUCUACCUUGUUGGUUCAGUGUCACAUUUGUUGCCCUGCAGAAAAUCUGUGAAGAUAAGUAUGUAUGUGAGAAAACUCAGUCAUGCCCAGUACUUGCUCACGUAGAAGAAUCAAUACCGCGAAGAAAAAUCACUUGGGUGUAGUAACAUUGCAAAUCUGUGAGCAGGGGUUCAUCUGUCAUCAGAAUAUACCAGGUGAGAAUCAACGAUGAUAAAAAUGGUAAGAUCGGAACGUCUGCACCAGUUGAGAGUGAUAGAAUGCAAACGGUGAAACUACCACUCUGUUUCAGGCCUUAUCCAUAUCAAAGUGUUGGAGAGAAAAUGGUUACUUCUUGUGUGUAAUUAUUCCUAUUUAGUUCCAGUGUUUUCAGUGUAGAAUAACUAAUCCAGAAGAUAUUUGGGUGAACGGGUUUUCUCACAGCAUCCUUUAAUAAGUAUUCUAAGUAGGUACGUGUAUUUUUAUUUAUCGAACUCAUUUUAAGUGAGUUUAAUAUUUGGCCUAUACACAUUAAAACAUGUUUUUCCUUAAAUUGAUUCAUAUUCACAGUUUGCCUAGGAUGCUGUUUUGUACCAAUGGUUGACAUGCUUCUGACAGUAGCUCUGUGAGCUUUCUUCUGUUCUUGGCUUAAGUGCCAAGGAGUGUGAGUCUCCACAGGAGACUUGGGCCUUUCUUUUCUGAGGACCCUACAUGCUAGUUCUAUAGCCUACCCGUGGCCCUCUGUUGAUUUCUGCAUUCUCAUAGGAAUCUUUAAAUGAUGUCCUGGUUGUAAGCUUAUCUCUAGCUGGACACUGUUCUGUGGGAUCUUCUCUUCUGUGGGUGAAGCUUCCUUUAGAGUUGUAUUUCCGUAUUAGCCAUCCACCUUUGGAGGAUUCAGUCUUCCUGAGUUUGUGGCAGGCACCCAAACACUUACAAGUAAUGCCUGAGUUUUUUAGCUGCCUUGUUUGCAUCCACACGCCCUCUAGAAGAAUGCCAAGACAAUCAGGGAGCUAGUAAGACUUCCUGGUAGCCUAGCUACAUUCAUUCAGUGCCUACUUUGCAUGUAUGUGUACGUUUUAGAAACCUUUUAUACGCCUAUAUUGAAGGCCAACAAAAUGCUCAGGUCUGCUUUUUGAUAGGGAAACAAAGAACACACUAAUCAAAAUUGGGUAAGGAAAAACAGCCUUCUAAUAAAGAUGUUGGCUGUUCUUAGUGAUGUAUCUAGACAGUAUUUCAAGAGAGUGGGCAGGUCCGUUCCUGGUAAAAUUGUGACCAUUAGGAUGCUUCUUUAUCUGUCC